GCCAGGCAUGGUGGUGUGUGCCUGUAAUCCCAGCUACCUGGGAGGCAGAGGUGGGAGGAUUGCUUGAGCCUGGGAGGCCAAGGCUGCAGAGCUGUGAUGAUGUCACUGCACUCCAGCCUGGGCAACAGAGUGAGACCCUGUCUCAA
ensembl:misc_RNA Metazoa_SRP Metazoan signal recognition particle RNA